rnacentral:tRNA from 1 species
GGUUGUACCUCAGUGGUAGAGCACUUGCCUAGCAUGUGUGAGGCCCUAGGUUCAAUCCCCAGCACCA